CUAGUUUUUAGAGGAGGAAAACAAGAGGGAAAAAAAUAUUCUGAACGAAACAGUGGAUGUAUGAUUUUUGCGGUUCAUGCUGUGGCCACAGACAUGAUAUGUGAUUUGAUGGUGAGUUUGGGGUAGCCCAAUGCAAAAAUCAUGAGGAUCCAUGUGGAUCUGUGCUUUGUAACCACGUUUUUGCGCCAUUGUAGCCCCACGCAACAGUGGGUGCAUGAUUUUUUUGGUGCCGGCUGUAGCCAUGGAGAUGUUAUGUGAUCUGAUGGUGAAUUUGGGGUGACCCAAUGUAAAAAUCCUGAGGAUCCAUGGGCUUUUCCUCCCCACUCCCAGGCAGCCUCCUUUAUCGCUAGCCUCCCUUAUCUCUCUCCCGAUCCCACCGAUCAGCUGCUUCCUUUCAACACCUCCUUCCCUCUUGUUUGCCUUAGUGUCUUUUCCUUAGCUGGAGCAGUUUUUUGCUCCUCCUUUUCUUCUAAUUUCUCUCCUCAUUGCUUUAGUCUUCCUGUCUCCUCUCCUUGCAAGUUCGCUGUCUUUACCUCCCCCCUUCCAGGCAGCCUCCUUUAUUGCUAUACUCCCUUAUCUCGCUCCCGAUCGCUUGCCGAUCAGCGGCUUUGUUUCAACACCCACGUCCCUCUUUCAAAAAAAAAGGCAUGAUCUGCUUUUCGCCCCUGGGCAAUUCGGCUCCAGGGACCACACAUUCACUCCAUAAGACGCACAGACAUUUCCCCUUACUUUUUAGGAAGAAAAAAGUGCAUCUUAUGGAGCGAAAAAUA